rnacentral:rRNA from 1 species
GGGUGAGGGGGAGGUAAAAGAGGGCGUCGCAGCGGUAGAGGGGAGCUUGGAAAGAGGAGGUUGGGGAGUAGGAGCAGGGCUAGUCCUCCUGGAGGGCUAGGCGGCGGUAGGAGGUACGCGCUCCAGUAGUGGCUCGACAGAGUGACGGAGGGGCGGGGGAAUCAACACUCCUAAGCAAGCUGAUGCAGGCAAACAGAAGAAGUACCUGAGCAAGAAGAAGGAACGCCCUAGAGUCCAAGACGGAGGCUCCUAUUGGGGCUCAUAGGCAGACUUCCCCUCAUGGGAUGAUGGUGAUGUUGUC